AUUGCCCUUACUGCUCAGUAACACGUGGAUAACAUGCCCUAAGGUGGGGGAUAAUCUCGGGAAACUGAGGAUAAUACCCCAUAGGUCUGAUAUGCUGGAAUGCUUUCAGGCCGAAAACUCCGGUGCCUUAGGAUUGGUCUGCGGUCUAUCAGGCUGUAGUGGGUGUAACGGACCCACUAGCCCGUGACGGAUAUGGGCCUUGAGAGAGGGAGCCCAGAGAUGGACUCUGAGACAUGAGUCCAGGCCCUACGGGGCGCAGCAGUCGCGAAAACUUCGCAAUGGGGGCAACCCCGACGAGGGAAUUCCAAGUGCCAGCACUUUGUGUUGGCUGUUCUCCUGUCUAAAAAACAGGAGGAGUAAGGGGCGGGUAAGACGGGUGCCAGCCGCCGCGGUAAUACCCGCGCCCCUAGUGGUGGUCGAUAUUAUUGAGCCUAAAACGUCCGUAGCCGGUCUUCUAAAUCCUUGGGUAAAUCGGGCAGCUUAACUGUCCGAAGUCCGGGGAGGCUGGAAGACUUGGGACCGGGAGAGGUCAGAGGUACUUCUGGGGUAGGGGUAAAAUCCCGUAAUCCUGGAAGGACCACCGGUGGCGAAGGCGUCUGACUAGAACGGAUCCGACGGUGAGGGACGAAGCCCUGGGGCGCAAACGGGAUUAGAUACCCCGGUAGUCCAGGGUGUAAACGCUGCGGGCUUGGUGUUGGGGGUCCUUAGUGGGCGCCCAGUGCCGGAGAGAAGUUGUUAAGCCUGCUGCUUGGGGAGUAUGUCCGCAAGGAUGAAACUUAAAGGAAUUGGCGGGGGAGCAC
rnacentral:rRNA from 1 species